UAGCGGCAGGCUUAACACAUGCAAGUCGAGGGGCAUCGGGAGGGAAGCUUGCUUUCCUUGCCGGCGACCGGCGCACGGGUGAGUAACACGUAUGCAACCUGCCCUCUUCAGGGGGACAACCUUCCGAAAGGGAGGCUAAUCCCGCGUAUAUCGGUUUCGGGCAUCCGAGAUCGAGGAAAGAUUCAUCGGAAGAGGAUGGGCAUGCGGCGCAUUAGCUAGACGGCGGGGUAACGGCCCACCGUGGCGACGAUGCGUAGGGGUUCUGAGAGGAAGGUCCCCCACACUGGUACUGAGACACGGACCAGACUCCUACGGGAGGCAGCAGUGAGGAAUAUUGGUCAAUGGGAGAGAUCCUGAACCAGCCAAGCCGCGUGAGGGAAGACGGCCCUAUGGGUUGUAAACCUCUUUUGUCGGAGAACAAAACCCGGGACGAGUCCCGGACUGCGUGUAUCCGAAGAAAAAGCAUCGGCUAACUCCGUGCCAGCAGCCGCGGUAAUACGGAGGAUGCGAGCGUUAUCCGGAUUUAUUGGGUUUAAAGGGUGCGUAGGCGGUCCGUUAAGUCAGCGGUAAAAUUGCGGGGCUCAACCCCGUCGAGCCGUUGAAACUGGCAGACUUGAGUUGGCGAGAAGUACGCGGAAUGCGCGGUGUAGCGGUGAAAUGCAUAGAUAUCGCGCAGAACUCCGAUUGCGAAGGCAGCGUACCGGCGCCAGACUGACGCUGAGGCACGAAAGCGUGGGGAUCGAACAGGAUUAGAUACCCUGGUAGUCCACGCAGUAAACGAUGAAUGCUGGUUGUCCGGGUCGAAUGAGACCUGGGCGGCGAAGCGAAAGCGAUAAGCAUUCCACCUGGGGAGUACGCCGGCAACGGUGAAACUCAAAGGAAUUGACGGGGGCCCGCACAAGCGGAGGAACAUGUGGUUUAAUUCGAUGAUACGCGAGGAACCUUACCCGGGCUCAAACGGGAGUGGAAUGGACCAGAGACGGUUCAGCCUACGGGCCGCUUCCGAGGUGCUGCAUGGUUGUCGUCAGCUCGUGCCGUGAGGUGUCGGCUUAAGUGCCAUAACGAGCGCAACCCCCGCCGGCAGUUGCUAACGGGCAAUGCCGAGGACUCUGCCGGGACUGCCGCCGCAAGGCGUGAGGAAGGCGGGGAUGACGUCAAAUCAGCACGGCCCUUACGUCCGGGGCGACACACGUGUUACAAUGGGCGGUACAGCGGGAAGCCAGGCGGCGACGCCGAGCGGAACCCGAAAGCCGUUCUCAGUUCGGAUCGGAGUCUGCAACCCGACUCCGUGAAGCUGGAUUCGCUAGUAAUCGCGCAUCAGCCAUGGCGCGGUGAAUACGUUCCCGGGC
rnacentral:rRNA from 1 species